UCAAUUGUAAGAGUAAGUAAAAAGAAUAAUUUUACUACAGUCCUAAUAUUUACGUUUUAACUGAAACUAUCAGUUUUUUGUCAUAAGCUAAUUUAUUACUGCAUCAACAUUUCUGUUGCUAAGCAAAUUAAUAAAAAUUCUUCAGGAAGCAGUUAAAUACAGGAUACAGAGUUAUUCGUUUAACUCGGAGGAACCCGCGCUCGCGAGAACAUUCAGAAUGGCAACAGUGCAACAUGCGAGAACACAGAGCGGUUUGGAUGUGUGCGUUAUCGUCAAAGGAUUAAUAUCUCGAAAUAUCUGACGUUACAAUUAGGAGAAGAUGAUCGCUGUUCUCUAUACGAUAAGGAGAAGCGAGUCUCGCGUUUUCGUCCGAUGAUUCUAUUUACCCACGCGCUUACGAAUAGUGACAUAGCUUCAAAGUCAAAGCAAGCAAUUAGCCGCUUCUGUGUAUUCUCUCAUUUAGCUCGAUGUGUUUACUUGAAAUGUAAUUCCAAUGUAAUUAUUCAUAUUUUUAUAAACAUCAUGAUCCUUUGCCUAU